rnacentral:rRNA from 1 species
UACGAAGGUGGCGAAUGUUGCUCGGAUUCACUGGGCGUAAAGCGUCGGUAGGUGGUUGUUUAAGUCAGAGGUGAAAGCCCCGCGCUCAACGUGGGAAUUGCCUUUGAAACUGGAUAACUAAGAGAGCGAGAGAGGAUGGCGGAAUGACUGGUGUAGAGGUAAAAUUCAUAGAUAUCAGUCGGAACACCCAAGGCGAAGGCAGCUAUCUGGCUCGUUUCUGACACUGAGCGACGACAGCGUGGGGAGCAAACAGG